rnacentral:rRNA from 1 species
UACGUAGGGUGCGAGCGUUGUCCGGAAUUAUUGGGCGUAAAGAGCUCGUAGGCGGUGUGUCGCGUCGGCCGUGAAAACUUGGGGCUUAACCCUGAGCUUGCGGUCGAUACGGGCAUGACUGGAGUUCGGCAGGGGAGACUGGAAUUCCUGGUGUAGCGGUGAAAUGCGCAGAUAUCAGGAGGAACACCGGUGCGAAGGCGGGUCUCUGGGCCGAUACUGACGCUGAGGAGCGAAAGCGUGGGGAGCGAACAGG